rnacentral:tRNA from 2 species
GCGGACGUGGCGGAAUUGGUAGACGCGCUAGAUUUAGGUUCUAGUAAGUAACCCUUGUGAGAGUUCGAGUCUCUCCGUCCGCA